CCCGACUCUAAAGGACAGCUCUGGACGUCAUUUUGAGGCAUCAAAGACGGCAGAGUCAUCAGAGUCACGUGAUAGCGCCCAAAUCAUACCCCCCUCCGGCCGACAGGAGGUUGUCAAGAGCAUAGAGAUGGAAGAGGAAGCAUCCACAGACAAAGAAUUAGCGGAGGCUUUAUCUGUUUACGAGGACGAUAAACUUCCUCAAGAGUCGAUAAACAAAGUCAGAGUUAAGCGUAGUGACACAGGACGGUUUCAAAGAACGAGAAAGAGCAGACGUGCAGCCUUCCACAACACGCGUCACUCAACCACCAAGGUGUCUGAGUCGACAAGCGAGAGCCAUCACCACAAGACAAGGCGUCCUAUAAAGUGCAGUGGUAACUGUAUUUACAA